AGGACACACCAUUUCUGCAGAAUUCUUGCCCAAAAUGCAAAACUGCAUUGUAAUCAUGAGAAAACAAAAGACAAACCAAACUAAGGGAUAUUCUACAAAAUAACUGACCACUAGUCUUCAAAUUGUCAAAGUCAUAAAAGGAAAAGGAAGGAGUAAGGAACUGUCAUAGGCUGAAGGAGGCUAAGGAAAAACAACAACUAUAUGCAAGUAUUAAUCUGGCUGCUACGCUGGGAAGAGAAUAUAGAGGCAAGGCAGAAGCAAGAAGCCCACGUUGGGAUGCCACUCCAAGAACUUGGAUGCUGAUCUCAGCCUUGAGUUCUCCAAAGAGAGCCACACAAAAAGCAUCGGGAAUAAAGUUGACUUUACUAAAUAUUUUUUAAAGAACUAGUGGAAGGAAGGAGCUUUGUAUCACAUAAUUCACAAGUAGUUGAGCAAUGCUUUUAGGGCUAUCUGUUCUCCAAAGUUCCUCCAGAUCUUGCUAAUUAAUUAGCUUCUUUCCCUUACUCUCUAAGUCAAUUCCUGUACUAACUUUAGA